rnacentral:lncRNA from 1 species
UGACAUCUUAUAGACUCUAAGACAAAUCACAAAGUUUAAGUUUAAGAUAUCAAAAAAUACGUUUUUAUAGCACUGUUAUUUUUUUCUGUUUAUUGAAUUGAACAGUUUUCUAGCCCUGUUUUGGUUGUACCAGAUUGUUUUUGCAGAGAGUAGAGAACAUUUAUUGCUUUGAGGUUCACAAUAUAUCAUUUAUUUUCAUGUUCUAAAUUCUCAUUAUCUAACUAUGCCGAGAUAAAUACAGUUUGACAUCCCUGGGCCUCCUUAAGCAAAAUGAGCAAGACUAUAUCUAUCAUUUUUGACCCCUUUGCUAAUCAGAGUAGCCCGUCGCAGUGAGAGAUGCUGAUUAUUGAGUGCAGCAGACAGACUCUUAUGGAUGAUUGGUAACUGCCCCCAUUGGCGCAUUUACACCAUUAAGCGUAAGCUUUCUCACUGGGCGGGAAUGACAGCUUUUCUCUGAUGACUGCUUUAGUGGUAAUGGCUGUCUGGCACAUUUUGUUUAAGUGGAAUCAAAAAUAGCAGAUGAUUCUGGGCCAGAUGUGGCCGUAAACGUGUCCCAUGUGCAACCUGGACAACAUGGGACCACCGUAAUGGGGAAACGUAAAGGGUCGUCAGUGGUGGACUCAGGCUGUUUGAAGGGCAGGCGCAGAUUAUAAUCGUAAAAAGUAAACUACAUACUUCGCUGGCUUUCUUUUAUGCUGUUCUUUUAUAGGCAAGACUCUAAAGGACGUCCACAGAGCAGGUAUUACAGUUAGGCUACAGCUUCUCUGCCCGAACCCAACCCGACCCAACCCGAGGCCUGACCCAAACUAGAGAGGCCAACAAACCGGGGUCUUCUGAAGUGAGGAGAAAAAUGACAUCAGAUGCAUCGGACUCGGCUGCUCUUUCCCUGAGGCCGAGGCAAGACAGAUUCCAAAUGAGUUCAAGACAAGACUGCGGCCGCUCAAGACGGACUCAAGUACUAAAACCAGAGGUGGAAAAAGUACUGAAAAAUUGUAAUUAAGUAA